AGGACGAACGCUGGCGGCGUGCUUAACACAUGCAAGUCGAGCGGAAAGGCCCUUCGGGGUACUCGAGCGGCGAACGGGUGGGUAACACGUGGGCAACCUGCCCCUAGCUCUGGGAUAACUCCGGGAAACCGGUGCUAAUACCGGAUACGACCUUCUCUGGCAUCUGAGAAGGUGGAAAGUUUUUUCGGGCUAGGGAUGGGCCCGCGGCCUAUCAGCUUGUUGGUGAGGUAACGGCCCACCAAGGCGACGACGGGUAG
rnacentral:rRNA from 1 species